AGAUCUGUUUUAACUAAGCCAUCUGAUUUUAUUUUUCCUCUCUUUUUUUUUUUUUUCCUAGUUAAGCAAACGAAAACACUCAGGGAUUUGGAUUUGCCAGCUGAAAUGUGAAGGUGGCAACUUACAGCAGAGGGGUGGUGAACAGCCAAAGAAACCAGGGGUGAAGGCAGCAUCUCUCACUGCAUGGCCCUUUCCAUAAUACGCUUCUGGGUGGAACAUAAAGGCGCUUCCAGAGGUUUGCCUCCUAGUUGGAGCUAGUUGGGGCAGCUUCUCCAGAGACUGAGAGAUGUCACUCUACUGAGUGCAGAGGCAGACUGAACUUGUGGGAGAUAGGAACAGAAUGUUCGAAAGGGAAAACCAGAAGGAAGAGGAGUCUGUGUUUGGGACUCUGGCGGUCACACCUAAUGCAGAAACAGGAAGACACAUGUGCCCUUACGAAACUUCAUUCCUGCAUUUCUUAGAUGGUGAGUUAAUCUUUUUCUUAGUAUUUUUUUGUCCUAGGUUAUUCUACAUCUUUGCCUGUUUGACACUGCUGUCAU
rnacentral:lncRNA from 1 species